UGGGGAAUCUUCCGCAAUGGACGAAAGUCUGACGGAGCAACGCCGCGUGAGUGAAGACGGCCUUCGGGUUGUAAAGCUCUGUGAUCCGGGACGAAAGAGCCUGAGGGGAAUAGCCUAAGGAAGUGACGGUACCGGAAAAGCAAGCCACGGCUAACUACGCGCCAGCAGCCGCGGUAAUAUGUAGGUGGCAAGCGUUGUCCGGAAUUAUUGGGCGUAAAGGGUGCGCAGGCGGCUUUACAAGUUGGAUGGGAAAUAUUGUGGCUCAACCAAAAAAGUGCAACCAAAACUGCAAAGCUUGAGUUAAGGAGAGGUAAGUGGAAUUCCUGGUGUAGCGGUGGAAUGCGUAGAUAUCAGGAGGAAUACCGGUGGCGAAGGCGACUUACUGGACUUAAACUGACGCUCAGGCACGAAAGCGUGGGGAGCAAACAGG
rnacentral:rRNA from 1 species